UGUCCUACGGGAGGCAGCAGUAGGGAAUUUUCGUCAAUGGGCGCAAGCCUGAACGAGCAAUGCCGCGUGAACGAGGAAGGUCUUCGGAUCGUAAAGUUCUGUUGAAGGGGAAAAAGAGCGGAGAGAGGAAAUGGUCUCCGAUUGAUAUUACCCUUCGAGGAAGUCACGGCUAACUACGUGCCAGCAGCCGCGGUAAUACGUAGGUGGCGAGCGUUAUCCGGAAUGAUUGGGCGUAAAGGGUGCGUAGGCGGCCUGCUAAGUCUGGAGUGAAAGGUACCGGCUCAACCGGAGAAUUGCAUCAGAAA
rnacentral:rRNA from 1 species